rnacentral:rRNA from 1 species
GUGGGGAAUAUUGGGCAAUGGGCGAAAGCCUGACCCAGCAACGCCGCGUGAGGGAAGAAGGUUUUCGGAUUGUAAACCUCUGUCCUUGGUGACGAACACAAUGACGGUAGCCAAGGAGGAAGCCCCGGCUAACUACGUGCCAGCAGCCGCGGUAAUACGUAGGGGGCAAGCGUUGUCCGGAAUGACUGGGCGUAAAGGGCGUGUAGGCGGCCGAUUAAGUCUGGAGUGAAAGUCCUGCUUUCAAGGUGGGAAUUGCUUUGGAGACUGGUUGGCUUGAGUGCGGAAGAGGCAAGUGGAAUUCCCAGUGUAGCGGUGAAAUGCGUAGAGAUUGGGAGGAACACCAGUGGCGAAGGCGACUUGCUGGGCCGUAACUGACGCUGAGGCGCGAAAGCGUGGGGAGCGAACAGGAUUAGAAACCCGUGUAGUCC